CCUAUGGGAAGAAAAGGAGGAGAAGUUUGGGAAUCUUGCUGCUGUCGUGUUUUUUCCUGCAAUGGAGCCUAUUGCUGAAUUUUAAUAUCAAUCAUAGGCUCACACUCACAGAACCCACCCUCUGGCAGUGUGAAGCCAUUCCCCUUUGUCCUGUCACUCCAGGCCCUUGUCCAAAGUCCCUCACCAGCUCCUUUGGAGCCCUUUUAGGCACUGGAAGGGGCUGCAAGUCCUCUUGGGAGCCUCCAGGCUUCACCCCACUGUGCCUUGGUGCUGCAUGGCCCUGUCCUAACUGGAUUUGAGGACAAAAGCAGGUUUGGAACCAGUUUUCAGCUCUCCCACCCUUUGUGGCCACCCCUCUUCAAUCUGCCUGUGCUCAGAGUGGUUUGUGCAGGAGGUGCCUGGACUGCAGAGCUUUCUCAUGUUCCCUGCCAUGAAUUAUUCCCCUCGGAGUAACUGAGACAGCAACAUUAACACCGAGGCUGCUGACAAGGGCCGUUAGACUCGUCUCCAGCUCUGCCUGCAGGGAAUUGCCUGUUGCUGCUGGCAGGGCUCUCAGGGGACACAGCAGAGGCUGUAACCUGACCUGUUUCCCUUUGAUUCGUCUCACUUUGCAGCAGGAGCCACCAGCUGUCAGAACAGGGUGGUAUAAAAAUCAGAAUCAUUAAGGUUGGAAAAGGCCUCUAAGAUCCACCCCAGCACUGCUGAGCCACCAUGUCCCCAGAUGCUGUGAUCAGGGAGACAGAACUGCCAAAAUAUCAAGAGUAUGGUUCUAGAAUAAAGAAAAGGAAAGGGAGCACACAGUCACUCAUCUUCCAGAACAAAAGGACAAAGGCAGCUUCCAAAAUGAAGAGUCACCACUUUUUCCUCAGCUGUCUUCCUGUGGAAUCUACAGGCCUGGCCAAAACACCCACGAAUAUUUUUCUGGAUUUGCAGUCACAUCCAGCAUCAGUCACCAGUCAUUCCCUCUCUCAACUUGCCUCCAGGAGCAGGUAACCUUUUAAUUGUCAAAGUAAUUGCAGAACUUUGGAACUCCAUGUCUUUGCCCAGCAUUGCUGGCUCUGGGAAGAACAUCUUUAUAGGAGAAGUCACGGACAAGACACUCUAUCCUAAUAAGGGGUGGUGGUAACCCUCACACUCUCUGAGUAAAUCCCAUUUUGGGGGGAGUCAGGGGUGUUUUUUUCUCCCCUCCCAGUUACCUGGGAGCUCAGCCAGUCUCUGUGCUUCUCGGAAUCAAUUUCCAUUGGAAUGUGAUUCAUCUGGGUGACCCACACGAACCAGUGGCUCUCCAGAAACCUGCAAAGCCAGGAAAAAUUGUGACAAUUUCUGCCAGAUGUGGAGACAUCAGGUGGGGUUUGCAGGGAGCAGCAGAGACUUGGAUGGAUGUUGACAAGGAAUUGCCUGGAAUCAUCCUCAUUCCAGGCUUGUUUUCUGAAAGAGCAGAUGAUCUGAUUUUGCAAUUUUGCUUUUUUUUCUUGCACUUUCAGUUUCAUCAAAAAUUUUGGGAAUAAUGGGCCAGUUGUGCUAAGUUUUCCAGCUUCAUUUCAGACUUGGAGCUUGCACAGGAUUACCUCCACAGUCAGCUGGGAAGAGGGCGGGAUGAGACACUCUGGGAGGGUCCAGCCAUGACCAAAGUGGGAUCAGCAGUGUGUGGGAACAGGGAAUGAGGAAAGGGAGGAGAAUCCUGGCUGGACCAUGGUGGGGCAGGGGGAGAUGCAGGUAGGAGAAGAUGUCGAGUGCCAGAGGAGCUAGAAUUGGGAGGGAAGCCAGAAUUCCUGAGAGGGAAGUGAAGCAGUGGGACACAGCAGAGCUGAGGCCAGGCUCAAACAGCACUGGAGGGAUGGCAGAGCAGCAGGGAUGCCCUUGAGCCCCUACCUGACAAACGUGAGGAGACCCAGGGAUCCCAGGAUGCCAUAGAACGGGAUGUAGGUGAGGAAGUAGCGCAGGUAGUAGCUGAUGGCCCAGGCCAGGUCCUGGGGGGAGAGAGAAAACACCAGGCAUCACUUCGCCCAUCUUGGGUAACGUGUCCUUGCUGGGGAUGUUGGGAACAGUGGGUAAUUCCUGCUGGGCCCCUGGCCUCCCUCUCUGCUCCAGUUUCCUGCCAGACCCCAUAAGGAUGGAGGGAAUGUUUCACUCACCGCCCAGAACCUGCGCCUGAUCAUGGUCGAGAUGAUUUGGAUUUGGAAAUACACAGGGAUGAGCAGAGGCGGGAAGACUGCAAGGCAAAGGGAAAUGGUUUGGCCAUCAGAGGGGUGGGAAGGUGUGUGGCAUGAGGGACUGCUUCCAUGGAACUGGGAACAUGCAGUUUUUCCAUGGAGCCUCUCACAUGGAGGUCAUUCCCAGCCUCAGCUCUUUUACAUUCCCUUGCUCUACAGGGCAAUGUUCCAGGUGUUUGGACAUCCCUGAGCUGAUUUUGGGAGCUGCACAGGGUCCUGAGGAAGGGUGGGAUGAGCUGGGAUUUGAAGAGUUGCUCUGCUCACACAGUGAGGGCUGGAAAGGACAAGUGGCAUUCCAGGAAAAGGGAAGAGAGGAGGGUGGAUACUCACUGAGGAAGAAGUACUCGUGCUGGUGGUUGUAAGGCAGGUACUUCAGCUUCUUCUUGCCAUACUGCAGGACACAAGGACACAGCUCAGCCUGGGAUCAGGAUGUUCCCAGGUAAAAGCAGAUUCUCUGCAAUAAUUCCUAAUUUAUUGACCAGGGAGUUUUGACUGAAUUCCCACCAGCAAUUUGGUGUGAUUAAAUAUCCUGACUUUGUCCUUGUGUUAGGUGUAAACUCAAUUUUUACAGAUAAUCUCUAUUUAUUUGAUGGGAUUUUGAUGCACUUCGCCUGCUGCCAUCCCUGUGUCUGUGAUAAGAACUGCCAGCACCUCCAUCUUUACUAAUAUCAAUGUGACAGGGAUGAAGUCUGAUUUUUUGGAAGGGAAGGCUUGUAGCACCGACAAAUCAGGCACAUUAUUCCCUCUGGGCUGAGCUCUGCAAGGCUGUGCACUUGGCAUCAUCUGGAAAAGGAUUCUAUACCAGCGUGAGAAUAUUAGGAUAGACUGAUCCAGGCCUAAUAUUAGAUAUUUUGAGGAGGAAGUCCAGUUUUCCUUGUUACCACAAAUGUUUAGGUUUUCCUUUAAGUCUGCUUUCUCAAUAAUACAAAAUCUGGCUGAGAAACCAUUUUUAAUGUUGUAUUCCCCUGUGUUGUCUUUGCUGCUUGUCCAUUUUCUUGGGGUUUUGCUUUUAAAACUAGAAACCCUUGUUCCAUUGUGAAAACCACCACAAUUUAAGUGCUUUGCAUAGGUUUUUAUAAACAGGCAGUAAAUAUUUUGGCUCUGGAGGGGCAGAUUGAAUUAAAAUUAAAAUCACUUGAUGCUGGAAGACAUUUGCUAUGGAAAUGGAAGGUUAGUUUUGAAAUGCUCCUGCUGGAAUACUGAGGAACACCAUAUUUCCCCCUCAUGCUGGCACUUCAAGCCAGCAGGAUGAAGUGGCCUUGAGUGGCUUUCUGCUUUCUCUCCAAGCCCAUCUGCAUUAUUAUUCCCGAGUUAGCCCAGGACACUGUCUCCUGUGGUCAGCACAGGAAAUGGAUUGGGAAUUAAUAGUCAGUGCUGCUCCUCAGCGCAAGGGUUGGCUCCAAACUCCUGUCAGACAACGUAGCCAGACAAAAUCCCUGGAUUAAGCAUUUCCUUUCUAGCAUUCCUGGAAGUCCUGCCUGUGUAAGUCAUGUCUAACAAUGGGAGCCAACUCCUGGAUUUGCACAACCACUCUCUGAGGGCCCUCUCAGACAGUAGGUUUCCACGUUUUCCCCACUUUUCCUUACCUCAACAGGCUGUGUGUCCCCAAGGACAAAAAUGUGCAGCAUGUUCACAUCUGGGUCCUUCUUGAAGAUGUUGGGCUUGGCGUGGUGCUGGAAGUGGCGGUGGUUCCACCAGUUUGCAGAGGCACCCUGGGCAAGGAGAACAAGGAGUUUUCAUCCAUGGGGAGCUGCUCCCAAGGUGGGAUUACCCCAUCAUUUAUGAGAACUAAAGUGGUGAGACUCAGGUUGUGGCCAAAGUGGGAUUUGCUUUGGAAAGAGCAGCAGGCAGGGAGUGCUGGAGUUGUUGGUUGCUAUGAGACUGCUGGUUCCAGAGGGAUCCCCAAGGAUCAUCCAUAUUGAAAGAACAUGGAAUAAAUACACUCUGAGUGAGUUACAGGUCACUGUGUCUUCCCAGAAAAUGCUGGAAUGGUUUGGGUUGGAAGGGACUUUAAAGCUCAUCCAGUCGCAGCUCCCUGCCAUGGGCAGGGACACCUUCCACUAGCCCAGGCUGCUCCAUGGACAAUGGUCACCAACUUUUUUUGUGCCUCUGCUCACUUUGGGAAGGCUGAGAGCCUCCCUUUCCUACUGGGCCACAGCCAAAGGGAUGGAUUCCCAGAAUUCCCUGGCUCCAUAAUUCCCUUUACCUUCAGGUGUCCAAUGACAAACUUGUGGAAGAUGUGGUUCCAGGAAGACUUCUUGAAGACAGAGAGGUGUCCAAAAUCAUGCUGCAGCCAGCCUGCCUGGGCCUGGGAUGAGGGGAAAUCAGAUAGUUAGGAAGCUAUUGGGAAUCAGAGCUAAGCAGGAAAGAAAUGGAGAUGGAGGGCAUGUUGGGAGUGUGAGGAAGAGCCCUCUUUGUCACCUGGCAAGUUGUAAGGAUGCAGGCAAGGAUGAGGGUUGUGAUCCAGCCGGUCCCAAAGUAGGAAACCAUGAGCCAAGCCAAAACUUCCAUGGCAAUGAUGUGGCCCAGGUAAAGGGAGAAGAACAAAGGGCUGGCUUGGAACAGGUUCAUGUCCUCCACUGUCUUCCGCAGGGUCCGGAAAUCCUCCACCAGCUGGGACUGCAACGGGACAGGCAAGAGCAGGGUGAGGCUUGGGAGUGAGCCUGGAUGAGUUGCGGGAUGGAUGGAUGGAUGGAGGAAGGAUGAGCUCCGUGCUAAGGACCCUGGCUUCAUAUUCCAGCUUUUUGCCCUGUAUUCCUAGGAAUAAGCAUCCUGGCUGGUCUGAGCCCACAUCCUGCCCUUUUGGACCUGGAGCCAGGAGAGUAAUCCAAGCUCUGUUCAGUGUCCCAUCACCUGAUGGCUCUUGUCUGAAUGAGCUUCCAAGCACCAAGAGAAGCUGGAGCAAGAGGGAAUUCAGUGCUAUUGUGCCUAAUUCCAGAGCUCUGAUAAUGAGCACCCACUAUCACCUGUCAUCCAUUCAAUCCAUGGGCCAGCUCCUGUGCAGCCAUCCAUGAGGAGCAUUGCUGGGUCACUGGGGGCCAGCACUGUCCCCUCUAUUGUGAGUGACACAGAUAUCUCACAAUCAUGGCCAGCCACAAACAACGGGGCAGGAUUGAGUUUCCUGGCCAGUUGUGCCACGCUCUGGGCCUGAAUAAUGGAUGAGCAGGGAUCCAGAGCUGCCCUGGGGAUGGGCAGUGGCUGCUGCUCCUUAGCACGGCCACCGAAGCGAGACUUGUGUUUUGGAGCUUGGUCACCAGCAAAGGAGCAGCAGAAGGGACCCUGGAGCUGGGGCACAUUUCCCAUUCCACAUGUCUCAGUUCCCAUUUCCCGUCAGGAUGGGAUCAGUCCAGCCUGGGUGCCUGGAACAGGCUGCCAGAAAUUGGCUGUUGGUGGCUCUGUGGGAAAGGCAAGGUUUGUACGGCCAAAAGUGUCACCCCCUUUCCACACACAUAUGAUAGGAUGCAAAUACUGCUACACGGAGAUGUUCAGUCACUGAGAACUCUCCCUCUCUGGAGAACAUCCCAAGAGGGAAAAACCAGUGGGAAUAGCCACCCUGAACCCCAGCUGAGGAGCAAAAACUCACAUUUUUGUCUCGGUCCUGGCUGGGCUCCCCUGGAGCGAGUUCUCCGAUAAGCAAGGGCUUGAGAAACUUCUGCACCAAGGUGGGAUUGAUGUGGAAGGCCUGGAAUGCAUCCUGGAGUGGAAACAGGAGGAACUGUGUGAGAUCCAGAAGUCAGAUGUGCGUCCUAUUCACUGUGACAUUCCCACCCACCUCCAGCAGUUGUGGAACCUGUGGAAGAGGGGGGCCAGGUGACCUCCAGCUCUGUGAUCACUGUUUGGGACAUUAAUUCCACUAAAGCCUGAUGAAUUUGCUGUCCUGGGAAGGGUGAGACCUGGGAUGGCAUCCAGCCAUAUGGUGAAAGGCACCUCAAGAAAUUCUUUCUAAGCAACUAAAUACUUAAAUCCUGUUAAUUCCCUUAGAAGGUAGGCAGAGGGGAAUUUGUGCAAAUCCUUCCUUAGGAUAAAAAUACCCUUGGAAAGUCUGCUCGUGGAGGCAAGUCAAGAGCGGGGGUGACUGUGGUGACUGAAGCUGGAUGUGACUGCAAACACAAAAAAUAUUCCUGGGUGGUUUGGCCAGGCCUGGAGAUCCCAGCGGUAAAACAGCGGAGGAAAAAGUGGUGACUCUUCAGAAUAAUGCCUUGUUUGUGGAGUCAUGUUGAUCCUGGCAUUCAUGAGCUUAUCUGACUCUUCUUUUUCUCUAUUCCUUCCCCUUCCACAUAUUUUUGUCUACCUGUAUCCCACAGGUGCCUGAUGCUCAUGAGAUCUUGGCCAGAUCCUUUCACAUGGCACAGUUGGAAUUUUAACCCCAAGGACAGCAGCAGGGCCAGAAAGCUGACCCAGAUCAGAAACCCUCACUCUGUCCUUGCCCUUUCCUCACUGCACAGAACUGGAGUCAGCUCUUGGAAUUCACCUGGGAGAACUGGAAAUAUUGGUUCCAUAAAGUGCUGAGAGAGUAUGGAAAAAAAAAAAAUAGUUAAAAACAGGAGUCAGGAGCACCGUGCUCUGGCCUUUCCACCCUUGUCCCGUUGCCUAAGAACUGUAGGGACAAACUAAAAUCUCCCUCCUGACUCUAAAGAGAAAGGGUGGAUUGAAAAGUGCUCCCUCUGUCCAGCUGACCCUUCUGGGAGCUGCCCUCCAUCAAAAGUCUGGGGUUCAAACGAGCCAGGCAACGACCUCGGGCCCAAGGCCCACCAAAAUCAAUAGAAACUUGAACCCAUAAAUGUGUCACUGAAAUGUUGACUCUGGUUCCUGUUUUCCUCCUCUGGUAUGAUUUGCAGAAGAUGUGAAAGAGGAAGGAAAAGCAGAAUGAGGGGGGAAGUGAAUAGCUGACUGUGCCUACUGCAAGGCUCUGCAGUUUUGGGUGAAAAAAAAGGGGAAGAAAGGGAAAGCGAGAGAGGGUGACACAUGAGAAGCGUUAAAAAAUGUCCAUUCAAUACUAUUUUAACUGCUGGGAAUAAAAAAGUCUUUGGAGGUCUGAUUGGGUGCUCACUGCCUGGAGAUCCUGCAAGAGACGGAAGGAUUGGAUUUUUAUUGUGUGUAUCUCAUGAAGCUCCUAUACUAAUAGGUCCCAAAUAUAAGAUAGCACCUGGAUUUUGGAAUUGUCCUCAGUUCUGUACUGCAGGUGAUAAAAAGCUUAAGGAAGAAGAUAAUCUCUGAGAAAUGCUGUGUGAUGUUGGCACUUGACCUCCCAACUUUGUGAUCUACUGACCAAAUAAACCGAAGUGUUUUAUGGGA